CCCUUAGAUGUUCUGGGCCGCACGCGCGCUACACUGAUGCAUUCAACGAGCCUAGCCUUGACCGAGAGGUCCGGGUAAUCUUUGAAACUGCAUCGUGAUGGGGCUAGAUUAUUGCAAUUAUUAAUCUUCAACGAGGAAUGCCUAGUAAGCGUGAUUCAUCAAAUCGCGUUGAUUACGUCCCUGCCCUUUGUACACACCGCCCGUCGCUCCUACCGAUUGAAUGAUCCGAUGAAUAUCAUGGAUUGAGGAUUAUAGCAGGUUCGCCUGUCUUGAUCUUCGAGAAGUGAAGUAAAUCUUAUCAUUUAGAGGAAGGAGAAGUCGUAACA
rnacentral:rRNA from 1 species